CAGCCGCUCUAUUAUGUCCUCCG
rnacentral:siRNA from 1 species